AGCUUUGCGCAGUGGCAGUAUCGUAGCCAAUGUGGUUUAGCCGAGGCUCGAUUAUUGCUAAUUGAAAAGAGUAUGACUUGAACAACACAACAAAAAUCUGGUUCCUUUACUCCUGUCCUCACGGGGUGCUAAGGAGCAAGUUGGCUGAUUUUUUCAUGU
rnacentral:snRNA from 1 species